AAAGCCAAAAAGUUGACUACUUGCGAAUGCAUGAUGAAACCAAUGUAAAGGAGACUAGGUCUGAGCUUGGACACCAAAUUUUGUCUCCCUCUGGGAAGCUUUAGUUACAUGAGGUUCUUCCCUCAAUGACCUGAAUUUGGAGAAAAGGCGUUC